rnacentral:lncRNA from 1 species
GGGGAAACCAAAUUUGAGUGAAUUAGCCACAGAGUGCAACAGAACAGAACAGAUCGUUAAUGAGAGAGGAAAAAAACCCCAGAGGAAGUAAAUUAGAGGGGCUGUCAGUGCAAACACAAGUUUAAAAUCUGACCAAAGACACUGAUCCUGACGAGACUGAUAAAUGCUACAGUGGCUACCUGUUUGUUUUUGCACAGAUCAAUAUUGCAGUUAUCGUGUUAAUAUGUGCAGUGGAAUCUAGUGACAGAGUGCGGAUAGCUGAGAUGAACCGGCUUCUCUCUGACAUCAACAGACAAUCACUGGACACAACGUGAUGUCGCAGGGUGACACAGGGAGAACACUCCUGGUCGUGGGUCGUGUGCGCCGCGUGGCACCAGGGCGCAAACACGCCACGUCGCGCACAAGCUGGUUUGUUGUUGUUGUUGUUGUUGUUGUUGUUGUUGUUGUCGCCUGUGAACGGCGACACUAACCAGAUGCCCUGCGGGCCUGUCUGGAGCCGUGGACACGGGGUCUAAUGGGUCCUGACGUCCCUCCCACGCGUCCCCAGCGCACUCCCCUCCCUAUUUCAGGCGCUGCUCUCCGCCUCUUGCCUCAGAGCAGCCGGCGCGCGGUCGGCACCCGUCUCCUCCUCUCCUCGGCACGGGUGCACUUGGACCGUGACCCUCGUCCCCCUGCAGAUGGGCGUCCUCCUGGUCCUGGCUGCGGUCGCGGCUCUGUUGACAGAAAAUCUCGCGUUUCCAGUGGGGGCAGAAGGACAGAGGGAAGAUGUGGUAUGUGUUUUCUCAUAAUGAACUAUCCGUCCAAAGGCGUCAUUGGAGCACAGGGCUGCACGUUGAGUGUGUUGUGUUUCUGCAGGUGACAAAGUGCUUGGUUGAAGUCCUGUCCAAAGCUCUCUCCAAACCGGACGCGCAGCUGCACCAGGAAUGCAGAGACAUUCUCCAAGCAGGUUGGCAGCACACGACUCAUGUUAUUUCUCAUGUCCAUCAUCCAAUCCAUCCAUUCAGACACUUUGAUGUCAACUGACAAACAGGUCGAUUGGAGGGAAACUGUGACUGUUUGGUUGCUGAGACGGUAGAAUUGAACUGAUAAAACAUACUGUCACACUGAAUGUCUUGCCGAACAACUGGUAAACAUAAAUAGAGUCAUUGAGAUUAACAUGUUCACAGUUUUCA